UUUCCAGGAUUUUAUUUAUAACACAGACAUGAAAUUUCUGGUUUCCCCCAUGGUGGAACAAGAUGUAGCUUAUAGAGGGAAGGUAAACAGGCUUCACAAAACCCAGAAGUACACUGGGAGGCCCUGAACACUGGGAGGCCCUGAACACAGGGAGAUCCUGAACACUGGGAGGCCCUGAACACUGGGAGGCCCUGAAUACAGGGAGAUCCUGAACACUGGGAGGCCCUGAACACUGGGAGGCCCUGAAUACAGGGAGAUCCUGAACACUGGGAUACCCUGAACACUGGGAGGCCCUGAACACAAUAUAUCAAUAUAUCAUAUAUUAAUUGUUCUCUUGGUUGGACUGACUAAAAUUAACAUACUUCAAAUUAAUGAUUAUCUUUCCUCAGAACUAAUUUUGGAAACAAGAUAUUUACACUAUCAAAUAUUACGGUAUGAUCAUGUUAUAUUAUGCUUCAAAUAUCAAUAUCAUUGUCGCAUGUUAUAAGAUAUCUUUAUCUAAUGAUGUAGUAUCAUUUCAAUAAAUAAAUAUUUCAGAAUUAUUACAGAAAA